rnacentral:lncRNA from 1 species
UAGGACCCAGAAUUUUUGGUAAUUUUACCCUUUUCUUAGUAAAUACACCGAGAUUUUUUUUCAGUGCGUGGUUUCUAAACUGAGCAGAGAGGUACUUGUAGUUCCCGAUCGCGAAAUGAAGUCCGAAUAACCUCGUUAUCCGGUUACUUUGUUUAAUUUUCAAUUUUGUUGUGUUUCAGAAGCUGUCGAGAGCGGUUCGGCGGCGGUGGCAGGACCGGGGGCGGUGGUAGGUUUGGGGGGCAGCGGGAGCAGUGCGUGUCCCCUUCGGCAGAUGCAGUGCGGCAACGGGUUCUGCGUGCCCCUCACGUGGAUGUGCGACGGCGAGGACGAUUGCGGAGACAACACAGACGAGACUUCACCCGAAUGCUCAAGUAAGUGUCAAAAUUUAUUUGAGGACGCAUCUUCAUGAAAAACAUUGGUAUCGUGAGUAAACAUGCAUCAUUCUUGACCCUUCUUAAACUGUUUUUAGUUUUUUUGUGAUCGGUGAUGAUAUCGUCACUUUCCGGCCAGUAUAUCACAAGCGCUAGAUGACGUUUAAAAGUUUCCGCCGCCAAUUCAUUUUUUUACAGAGAAAUUUUUGGAUGAAUCUUUUCGGCCAUCUCCUGAAUGUUAUCGGCAGUACGAAGAAAAUUAAGUGAAAUUUUUGGACAGAUUCGUUGAAAAAUUUCUGUGUGAAAAAAUAAAAUGGCGGCGGAAAUUUUUAAACGUCGAAUGGAGCCUGUGAUACUUUGGUCGGAAGGUGACGAUACCAUGAAUCGAAGUAGGAAGAGGUUUUGCGACGUCUGCAUGUAACUUUCCCGUCUCGUCGGCUGAGAACUGACCCCUGUUGUUCCCGGAAGCAGCUUCCGCAGUGCGCUCGACCGACGAAUCCCGCAAAAGCGGAAAAAACACCGAACUUCCGGGUUGUUUAUAAAGGGUCCCGACUUCACGUCGUUUCGCCGCUCUGAUUUUGACGCGGAAGAAUAAAGUUCCGGAAAUUAGGGGAGUUUCCGGAGACGAGAUUCCGCGACGGAACUCUCAUGCACUUGGCCUGGGGCAAGUUCGCGGACCGUGAAACAACCGGUGACUUCCCGUUUUGUCCGCCUCGGGAGGACACAUCUCCGCGGAUCUGAAAUCACGUGAUGACAUUGAUUUUUACUCGUUUUGCUCUCUUUUUUCUUCUAGUAGGACCAAGGAUAAUACGAAAAGUCAUCCAAAAAGUGAAGUUCCUUACCUUGUAUCAUCCGAACGAAAAGAGAUAAAUCAAAUCGAUAAAAAAGCAUUAUAAUGCAUACUCUAAGCUUUAAAGCAAGCCCAAGUUUUUGAAAAUCGGUCGAGGGGUUCGUGAGGAAACUCACUUUUACUGCGACAACCUCCUGACGCCGCGUACUCACCUCUGGAGUCGGGAUACGCGGAGAUUCGAUUAUUUCAGACUCGGGUUUUCGCCGCUGAGCAUCAUAUCAGAAAGGAAAUUAAAAGUUUUUAGUGAGGAGACCUUGCCUCACUUUUUGACGUAGUCACCACCUUUGUUUUGACAUUUCUGUUAUCAAUAUUGCAGCCUCGUGGUGCCUUCCGCGUAGAAGCUCUUGUUUUGGCAUACCGAAACCAGUCAUUGACAGCGCUCUGCACUUCCCGUACUUUUUGGAUGACCCUCGUAUAUACCGCGUUUAGCAGAAAGGAACCAGGUCAUAUCAGCUAUUGCUAAAUUUAACUGGGCAAUUCAAUUUUUUACAAGAAAACUUUUGUGCGGAUUCCUUUGAAAAUUUUAAAAAAUUUGCUUCGUGCUAUGCAGAAUAUUCACUGUUUGCUAAAAAAAUCCGCAAAACCGUUCUUAUGUAAAAAAUUAAAUUGCCCAAUUAAAUUUGGCAAUAGCUGAUGUGGUUUGGUCCUUUUUGCUUAUCAUGGUCCACAUACUUUAGAGAUCCCGCACUUGAAAUCUAAGCAUUGGAAUCGAGUAAAGCGACAUUUCAAUGCGGAGGU